rnacentral:lncRNA from 1 species
AUGAUGAUACUAGUCUCCUUUAAUGGCCGAGUGUUUAACUUAGAGUAGAUGGAUAGUAAGAUUACAUUUAUAGAGGCCCUAAAUCACAUAUGGCAUUUCCUAUGCCAAAGGUACCUAUUUUACACGAGAUGGCAAACAUACCUUGGUCUUUACACUUACGAGGCACUUGUUUGAUUGCAUCAAGCAAUGGGAUGUUCACCUCAACCUUGCAAAAAGUUUCCACAAUCUCCUUGGCCUUCCUCUCUUUCUUGGUUUUGGCAAAUCAUUCUGGGAAGGGUAGACUAGCUGUUAACGAUGUUGGCUGGUUAGAGCCUGACUUUAUUUGGCAGUUAUUGUCCUCAACUGUAACUUCAGGUGCCUUACCCAAGGCUUCUACCUCUGCCCCCUUUUGUAAGCCCUGCCUAACGCUUACUUGGCGAGGAUUUUCUUGCAAUUCUCUAC